ACGCAAAAUAUCAAGAACUGUACGAUAAGCAUCCCACAAAAAUUUCAACCAUGGAGUGACCAAAGCACGGUCUGUGCGGCUCUUGGAAAGGUCUCCCGAAACCAAAGACAUCAUGAUGCUCUCGGGAGUUUCAGUAGCCUCAAGAUCGUCAACAUAUUCAACUGAUAUCUUGUCUGCCUUCUCCUGAGCUUCUUGAACUCUUUUAUUAG